rnacentral:rRNA from 1 species
UUAUAAGAGACAGCAGUAGCCACGGGAAUACAGAGGGUGCGAGCGUUAAUCGGAUUUACUGGGCGUAAAGCGUGCGUAGGCGGCUUUUUAAGUCGGAUGUGAAAUCCCUGAGCUUAACUUAGGAAUUGCAUUCGAUACUGGGAAGCUAGAGUAUGGGAGAGGAUGGUAGAAUUCCAGGUGUAGCGGUGAAAUGCGUAGAGAUCUGGAGGAAUACCGAUGGCGAAGGCAGCCAUCUGGCCUAAUACUGACGCUGAGGUACGAAAGCAUGGGGAGCAAACAGGAUUAGAGACCCCAGUAGUCCCUGUCUCUUAUAC